rnacentral:rRNA from 1 species
GACGAGGGAUCCUAGCGUUGUUCGGAAUCACUGGGCGUAAAGCGUUUGUAGGCGGCUUCGCAAGUCGGGUGUGAAAUCCCACGGCUCAACCGUGGAAGUGCAUUCGAAACUGCAGAGCUUGAAUAUGGAAGAGGAGAGUAGAAUUCCUGGUGUAGUGGUGAAAUACGUAGAUAUCAGGAGGAAUACCGGUGGCGAAGGCGGCUCUCUGGUCCAAUAUUGACGCUGAGAAACGAAAGUGCGGGGAUCAAACAGG